rnacentral:rRNA from 1 species
GACGAACCGUGCAAACGUUGUUCGGAAUCACUGGGCGUAAAGGGUGCGUAGGCGGGUUUUUAAGUCAGGGGUGAAAUCCUGGAGCUCAACUCCAGAACUGCCUUUGAUACUGAAGAUCUUGAGUCCGGGAGAGGUGAGUGGAACUGCGAGUGUAGAGGUGAAAUUCGUAGAUAUUCGCAAGAACACCAGUGGCGAAGGCGGCUCACUGGCCCGGUACUGACGCUGAGGCACGAAGGCCAGGGGAGCAAACGGG